rnacentral:rRNA from 1 species
UACGUAGGGUCCGAGCGUUGUCCGGAAUUACUGGGCGUAAAGAGCUCGUAGGUGGUUUGUCGCGUUGUUCGUGAAAACUCACAGCUCAACUGUGGGCGUGCGGGCGAUACGGGCAGACUAGAGUAUCGCAGGGGAGACUGGAAUUCCUGGUGUAGCGGUGAAAUGCGCAAAUAUCAGGAGGAACACCGGUGGCGAAGGCGGCUCUCUGGGCCUUACCUGACGCUGAGGAG